rnacentral:tRNA from 1 species
GAGGAUAUGACUCAGUGGUAGAGUGCUUGUCUAGCAUGCAAGAGACCCUACGUUUGAUUCCUAGAACCACA